GCUGGCGUGGCGCAAUGGUAGCGCAAUGGUUUUGUAAACCAUGGGUUGAAGGUUCGAUUCCUUUCGCCAGCU
rnacentral:tRNA from 1 species